UGAGUAUGGAGCGUCAGUAUCUACUCGGACAGGUUAGAGAGCUGGAGCGUAUCAUACAGAUGAUGGACACUGGGAGAGCUGAGCGAGCGCUGAGGUAUGAGAUUGUAGAUGUUAGGAUGAUGGCGAGGGCGAAGCUUGGUGCCGUAGCUGAAGAUCAGAGUACCUACAGUGAUUUAGUGGAGUGGGCCAUAUGGAUGAUGAAGGAGUUGGAUAAGCUUGGAGGUCCUACUUUUCCUUGGAGUUAGACGGUGGUAGUUACAGAGUGGAGGUACCACGUAUAUUAGUGUGUAGUGUGUAGUGUGUGGUGGUAGUGUAGUGUCAGCCGAUUUUGACCUUAUAUAGACUAAGAUGUGCUGACCAGUGUGUAGGUUGCUGUGGUGUUUUACUUUUGACAAGCGCUUGCGCUGAUGUACCCCCAGCUCUUUAUAUAUAUCAGAACUUUUCCUUUUCAUACUGUCUUUUACUUUAUUGCACCCGUCUUACUUACUUUACAUAUCACACUUGUUUUACAUACUGCACUUCAUAUAAACCCUGUGAUAUCAUUACACCCUGUUUCUUUCACUAUUGCUCUGUUCUGUGAAGAAGCAUGCGAUUUAUUUAAUUCAAUGAUCAAAAAUGUUUUCAAAAAGAAAUAUUCUGUUUUAUAAAAAAAAUUGUUAAAAGUUUUGGAGAUCAAAUAAACUGCUUGUUUCUUUACAGAGCUAUGCCUCCCAGAAGACAAAACCGUGCAAACAACCGUGAUAACAACAAUGAUAAUAACAAUCCAGAACCUACAAUGGCCCAGAUUCUUCAGAUCUUGGCCCAACAGACUGCCAACCUGACUCAGCAGCAGGAAAGGCAGGCUAAUCCCCAGGUUACUUUCAAAAACUUUCAGUCUGUU
rnacentral:lncRNA from 1 species